rnacentral:rRNA from 1 species
GUGGGGAAUUUUGGACAAUGGGCGAAAGCCUGAUCCAGCCAUGCCGCGUGAGUGAAGAAGGCCUUCGGGUUGUAAAGCUCUUUUAGUCGGAAAGAAAGAGUUGCAAUGAAUAAUUGUGAUUUAUGACGGUACCGACAGAAAAAGCACCGGCUAACUACGUGCCAGCAGCCGCGGUAAUACGUAGGGUGCGAGCGUUAAUCGGAAUUACUGGGCGUAAAGGGUGCGCAGGCGGUCUUGCAAGUCAGAUGUGAAAGCCCCGGGCUUAACCUGGGAAUUGCGUUUGAAACUACAAGACUAGAGUGCAGCAGAGGGGAGUGGAAUUCCAUGUGUAGCAGUGAAAUGCGUAGAGAUGUGGAAGAACACCGAUGGCGAAGGCAGCUCCCUGGGUUGACACUGACGCUCAUGCACGAAAGCGUGGGGAGCAAACAGGAUUAGAUACCCUUGUAGUCC